CCUACGGGUGGCUGCAGUGGGGAAUAUUGGACAAUGGGCGAAAGCCUGAUCCAGCCAUGCCGCGUGUGUGAAGAAGGCCUUCGGGUUGUAAAGCACUUUCAGUGGGGAAGAAAGCCUUGGGGCUAAUACCCUCGAGGAAGGACAUCACCCACAGAAGAAGCACCGGCUAACUCCGUGCCAGCAGCCGCGGUAAUACGGAGGGUGCGAGCGUUAAUCGGAAUUACUGGGCUAAAGCGCGCGUAGGCGGUCUGAUAAGCCGGUUGUGAAGGCCCCGGGCUCAACCUGGGAACGGCAUCCGGAACUGUCAGGCUAGAAUGCAGGAGAGGAAGGUAGAAUUCCCGGUGUAGCGGUGAAAUGCGUAGAGAUCGGGAGGAAUACCAGUGGCGAAGGCGGCCUUCUGGACUGACACUGACGCUGAGGUGCGAAAGCGUGGGUAGCAAACAGGAUUAGAUACCCCAGUAGUC
rnacentral:rRNA from 1 species